rnacentral:rRNA from 1 species
UACGGAGGGGGCUAGCGUUGUUCGGAAUUACUGGGCGUAAAGCGCACGUAGGCGGCUUUGUAAGUUAGAGGUGAAAGCCCGGGGCUCAACUCCGGAAUUGCCUUUAAGACUGCAUCGCUAGAAUUGUGGAGAGGUAAGUGGAAUUCCGAGUGUAGAGGUGAAAAUUCGUAGAUAUUCGGAAGAACACCAGUGGCGAAGGCGACUUACUGGACACAUAUUGACGCUGAGGUGCGAAAGCGUGGG